GCCAGGCAUGGUGGGGCACGCCUAUAGUCCCAGCUACUCAGGAGGCUGAGGCAGGAGGAUCACUUGAGCCCAGGAGGUCAAGACUGCAGUUAGCUGAGACCAUAUCAUGCCACUGCACUCCAGCCUGGGCAACAGAGUGAGACCCUGUCUCAA
ensembl:misc_RNA Metazoa_SRP Metazoan signal recognition particle RNA